rnacentral:rRNA from 1 species
AAGCUCGUAGUUGAAUUUCGGGGUUAGUAGGUUGGUCAUGCCUCUGGUAUGUACUGGUCUCACUGAUUCCUCCUUCCUUAUGAACCGUAAUGCCAUUAAUUUGGUGUUGCGGGGAAUUUGGACUGUUACUUUGAAAAAACUUAGAGUGUUUAAAGCAAGCUAACGCUUGAAUACAUUAGCAUGGAAUAAUGAAAUAGGACGUUCGAUCUUAUUUUGUUGGUUUCUAGGAUUGACGUAAUGAUUAAUAGGGAUAGUUGGG